ACACAUAUAUGAAUGGAACUGGAUGAGGUCAGAAUGGAUUGUGAUAUAUACCACUAAGAGUAUUUAGUAUAUAUACCCUUAUUGAUGAAAUCCCAGAUCCAUUUGAUUUCACAGCAAAUUACAAGGCUCAAGGACACACACAAUCUUCUCUUGGUGUUGAAGGAAGAAUGAGCUAUUGGCUCCUUUAUAUUUUCUCUUUCCCCAUUUGGAAUCUGAAAAACACCAUUCCUAGCCAGUGAUUUCCUUUUAACUUAGACACUUUCUUUGGUGCCUUAUAUUGCUGAUGCAACAGGCCAAGUUUCUCUUUUAUUUUUCAGCUUUUAGCAAACAUUAGGCAGUGGUUGGACGGUGGAGUAAGAACUCUCUGAAGCACUGAGGAUGUUUCCAACUGCUCUAACAGAUGUGAGGUGACCAAAGAUGUAUCACUAACAAGCAAACAAGGAAAUUUGAACUUCCUCCCUCGUAGCUGUGAGAGAUCUCCAGUUACACUCUAAUAGCCUUCCAUUGGCAUUGUGAAAUGAAGCAGCACUUUGACAUUCUUCCUUCUGUAGAGGUAGCAAAACCUUUCCAGACAAAAGCCCAACAAGUGAUGAAUGCUAUUUUGGUGGAAUGGAAUGGCCAAGUGUUUCAUGGAGGGUGUCAGAGAAAUGUCUGGCUGGGAAAAGAGAGACCAGGAAGCAGAUUCUGUUUUCUCAUGGCUCAGUGUACAGGAGCUGCAUGUGGACUACAUUGUAACCCGUGGUUUUUAUGUUGAACAGAACUGUCUCAGAAAGCAUGGACAUUUCCUGAGAGAGAAGGAAGAAAGAAGGGGGAAAAGAUUGGUGGAAUGAAGUGUGUGUGUAGGGAACAGCAUGGAAGAUAACAAGAAUCAAAGAAAAAAAAUUAGUGCAUUUCAGCUGGAAAUGACCUUUAAGAAAAAUCUCAUUCAGUCCAUUAAUUUAACAGAUGAGGAAACAGGUGCAGAGAAGGAAAAAAAUUUGCCUAAAGUCUUACAUGUAGCCACAGAGAAAGUAGUAGAACCCCACUGGACUUCCAGAUGAGGUUUAUUUCAAUUAUGCCAUGAAAAAGUGUGAUUUUGUAAGAACACAUAUAAAAUCAUUGGAUUAUAGAAUUUUAGAUGUAGAAGAGACUUUGCUGAGGUUAUCUAACGUCAUUGACCAGGUGAUAAAAGUGAAUCCCACAGUAAUUCAGAAAUUUUAAUUCUUUAUUAUAAUAACAGGGGUAGGGAUUUGAGUUACAUGGUAUCAUGGUAUCUUUCCUCCAAAGUGUGCAAUUUGCCAGCAAAUAGGUAAGCAUAGUAACAAAUAAACCCAGAGCUAUGAAUGUUGCCAAACUAAAAUGGAAAACAUUUUCUUAGCCAAUAUUUAAAUUUUACCUUUCAUUUAUGCACAAAUAAAAUAGAAACAAGUCUAGCUGAUUAUCGGAUUCAGAAACUAGGAGACUUUCAAUUUUGGCUUAGAUACAAAGAAGUAUAUAAUAUGGAACUAAAUUUAUUUUUUUUACCCAUUAAAAUACUAUAAAAUGGUAAAAAUAUCAUAAUGCAAUAAUAUAAUUUCAAUAGAACUGAAAGAGAUAUCAUGUACCAUAGACAACUGAGAACAUGAACAUGUCACUUUCAGGAUGACUUUUUGAAAUGUACUUUGAACGUGUGACCUUGGACAGGUCACUUUAAUGCUAUGGACCUUAGUUUCUGCAGUUAUAUAAUGAGAGAGUUGAACUAGAUUAGGAUCCUGGAGACCAGGGAUCAUAAUAUAAAUAUACCUGUGAAUAUAAAAUGAAUAUAAUGUGAAUAUAAAGUGAGUGCAUAUGGAGAGUAUGGCUUCAAAAAAACUCCUUAAACCCAUCACUCUUCCUUCCCUCUACUCAUCCUCUUGGCUAGUUUACUCACCUCAAUCUAAACUCACAGGAAGAGAGGUAUAAGGUUUUGUUUUUUCCUCCAAGAUGGAAUGAGGAGAGGGCAGCCAUACUGCUAUGACAUAGUGUAGGGGGAAAAACUCAAAACACAUCUACAAUUUCAAUUCUAAUUAUUGAGCCCCCAUCAGUGUGCUUCUUGUUUAUAUAAAUUAAGCCAUCAUGAUACCAUUAACUCUUAAUCAUGAAAUAGUUACAACUUGAUAAGGCAAAGAAGGAAUAAUCAUACCACAACAUUUAUUGAAUAGAAGAAAAAUAAGAGGAAUCAAAAUAUAAUAGUUUAUCAUAAACUUGGGUCAUACUUGGCCACCAAAGCACACAGUUUCUGGGAGAAGAAGAAAGGGUAGGGACAAAUGAAAAGAAGCCUAACACUAAGACUUAUGUGUAGUAAAACCCAGGUGUCUCAGAAAACUCUUAACUCUGGACUCUAGGCAAAGAAGUCUGUUGUCUUUUUAGGAAAUAGUCUAUACCAUGCAUCACCUGCUGGGUGAAAUGACUCCUUUUAUGAGACUCUCUGCUUUUUUGAUGAAUAAAACUGCUUUCUGCUACAUUGAGGCUGCUGAAAUAGUAUUAAGCUCUUUCUUGUUAACAGCAGCUUUAAACCCUGAGGUCUUCAGAGGUCUACACAUCUGAUAAAAUGCAUUGUAGCCAUUUCUAAUAGCGACCAGAACUUUUGCCUCGAAGGUAUUUUCACUAGAAUCCUCUAAGCACUUUUACUGGAGGAUGUAGUUUUUUUUUUUUCUUCAGGUCCUCAGUACUGUUUGUUUUUCUUGAAACUAUGUUUCUCUGUAUUUCACAGAAUACAUCAUUUUUUUCUGUUCCUUUCUGCAAAUAAAAUAUCCUCUUCAGAAAGAGAAUAUACUUUAUAUAAGUAAAGAAGAAAUUGAGACAACUUGGAGAUAGUUCUUGCAAAUGACUUCUUUUUCAUCCAAAAUAUUAAAAUUAUAUG